AUGUUAUCUCAGCUUUGCGUGACCACAACAGGGGAGGGCAAAGAAGUAAUGCUUUUCCAAAACAGAAGUCUGUUUCACACGCACACCCCCUACCCCCCAUCAGAGCGCUCCCUUUGCCCGCAGCGGAAGUUAAUGUUAUCAUGUCAGACAUUUGAUAUGAACACAAUGAUUUCAAAAUGUAGAGAUACCGCUGAUGCACUUGGGGGCGAUUGCCAGCAGGGCAAACAAGUGACUCAUCAGAGGAGGAAAAUCGUCCGCUCGAAAACCGACUGUGGUACCCACGUGAGGAUCUGGCUUGCCAGGCUCCAGUGCCGCCUUCUGACAAACGGAGGGACUCCCUCGGCCAAGAGAUUCACAAAGCAGCGUUUUUGUGAAUGAACAAACGCAUCUUGUCAGCCCGUGCCAGCAGAAAUGUUAAGGAGCAAAACCAAAGUUUGAUUUUUGUAAGCAGGGUAUACUAUCGCCGCGGCCCACGUGGCACACACACAGGCAGCCAGGGUUCUUCUGCUCCCUGAGCCGUGGAGAUGAGAAGGGUGGGCUGCCCCACACAUGCGAGCACUCGGGGGAGCUCGCCUUUCUCAUCCUGAGGGCCCCACCUUUUUCAGAAGGGUUCACAGAAUUGCCCAAGGGCCCGGUCAGCGACUCUUGGCCAGUGGACAGUUAUCUGGGCCUGGACGUGUUGGAAGAACGCAGGUGGAAAAGGACUUGUCAGCAGCAUGAAGCCCUCUCUAUCUGCUGUCUAAAGCCCUUCAGUGAAGAGCCCAGUGUCACGGGGUGACUGUCGAACUGCGUGGACAUCUGGGGGGUUGACAUAAGUUGUGAGUAUCCCAGCCACGACGCCGUGGGAUGGUUUUCGUGUGGGUAUGAAGUCGCUGGGUUUGGAAUUUGUCACUGAAAUCAGGCAAGUCACAGUAUGACUGCGUGGUAGGGUCACCUCCUAGGCUUUUUCUUUCUUACAUCCAACACAUCUGGUACGUCUUACUUAGGACGUUGUACUAUGUCCAUUAAAAUGAUUCCAUAAGGCAAGCCACCCAGAUGCAUUUACUAGCUGAAAAGCACUUUUUUAAAUAGACGAGGAUGAAUUUAAUAUGGGCCGAUGUGACCGUCUGGGGAAUCUUUUUAUAGCGAGCUUACAUUACUGUAUGUGGGGAAAUUUUUGUCUUCUACUCCCAUUCAACAAUAGCAAACGUGGUUUUAUAAGAUGAACAUUAUCGUGUUAGCUGCCUGUGAAAAAAUAAAGACUUGGCGUUAUCAGCA
rnacentral:lncRNA from 1 species